rnacentral:lncRNA from 1 species
UAGUAAAGGAUUGCCUGCAGUAUUUUAGAAUGAGCAGUAUAGAGUUUUUCUGAGACUAGACAUGUUUGCCAUUAAUAUGUUUGUGUUCUGUGUUCUUGUAUUUGUUCAUCAGGAAGACUUUUUCCAAUCCUUUCUCGGUUUUUCUUUCCUCCUCCUCCUCCUCUUCUCUUUUUUUGUUUGUUUGAGAUUGCUCUUUUUAGGGGGUGGAGGAGGGCUGGGGGGAGAUGCUUUUACUCUGGCUCCUUAAGUAUAUUUUCUACUCACUA